AAAUCAAUGACAUAAAGCUCAUACAGUUAUUGGAAAACAUAACAGCGCUUCCCUUCGCCUGUCCCCUGAUGGUCCCUUAACCUGGAGAAUCAGGCAAAGAAACAAGAGCGCCCUGCCCAGGGCUGCAGACCUUCCCUGGGAGCCGGAGAGCAGCGAAGGUUGGAAUUUCCCCCCGCUCCCUCACGGACCGAGUCGCCGAGUCGCCACUUUACCGCCGGUCCCUAGGCGUGGGCGGGUCUUCCCGGAACUUCUGGCGGCGGGUGUUUUCCACGCCGAGUGACUCCGGUUCCCGGCGCCCAGCAGGAGACACUCAGCCACUGCUCCCUCUGUCUUUUCACUGGAAAGCUGCCCUUGUAACCCUGUGUCAACAUGGCGUCCCCUCCCUGCUACGGCCUGCUAACCCGCCAAAAGGAGCCAGG